rnacentral:tRNA from 1 species
UUUAAUAUGGCAGAAAUAUAGUGCACUGAAUUUAAAAUCCAGUUAUAAAGAUUUAUCUUUUAUUAAAA